rnacentral:tRNA from 1 species
GCCGAAGUGGUGGAACUGGGAGACACGCUGUCUUGAGGGGGCAGUGAGGGGGAAAACCCCGUGCCGGUUCGAGUCCGGCCUUCGGCAC